CACUCCUGCGGGAGGCAGCAGUGGGGAAUUUUGGACAAUGGGCGAAAGCCUGAUCCAGCAAUGCCGCGUGAGUGAAGAAGGCCUUCGGGUUGUAAAGCUCUUUUGUCAGGGAAGAAACGGUGAAAGCUAAUAUCUUUUGCUAAUGACGGUACCUGAAGAAUAAGCACCGGCUAACUACGUGCCAGCAGCCGCGGUAAUACGUAGGGUGCAAGCGUUAAUCGGAAUUACUGGGCGUAAAGCGUGCGCAGGCGGUUUUGUAAGUCUGAUGUGAAAUCCCCGGGCUCAACCUGGGAAUUGCAUUGGAGACUGCAAGGCUAGAAUCUGGCAGAGGGGGGUAGAAUUCCACGUGUAGCAGUGAAAUGCGUAGAUAUGUGGAGGAACACCGAUGGCGAAGGCAGCCCCCUGGGUCAAGAUUGACGCUCAUGCACGAAAGCGUGGGGAGCAAACAGGAUUAGAAACCCCUGUAGUCCCAUG
rnacentral:rRNA from 1 species